UAGAUAAAUUUGAAUUAAUUCAAAUUUAUCUUAACCCCUAAAUAAUCCUAACCUAA
rnacentral:tRNA from 1 species